GUCUGGUUAAUUCCGAUAACGAACGAGACCUUAACCUGCUAACUAGUCUGUCCCAUCUCAUGGGACGUGACUUCUUAGAGGGACUAUGUGUUCAAGCACAUGGAAGUUUGAGGCAAUAACAGGUCUGUGAUGCCCUUAUAUGUCCUGGGCUGCACGCGUGCUACACUGAUGCAUACAGCAAGUGCCUAGCCCGAUAGGGUGUGGCAAUCUCUAAUAUGCAUCGUGCUGGGGAUAGAUCUUUGCAAUUAUGGAUCUUGAACGAGGAAUUCCUAGUAAGUGCAAGUCAUCAUCUUGCAUUGAUUAUGUCCCUGCCCUUUGUACACACCGCCCGUCGCUCCUACCGAUACCGGGUGAUCCGGUGAACCUUUUGGACUGCUUGCAGAAAGAUAAGUAAACCAUAUCACCUAGAGGAAGGAGAAGUCGUAACAAGGUUUCCGUAGGUGAACCUGCRGAAGGAUCA
rnacentral:rRNA from 1 species